AGAGUUUGAUCAUGGCUCAGAACGAACGCUGGCGGCGUGGAUAAGACAUGCAAGUCGAGCGCUGAUUACGAGGUAGCAAUAUUUCGUGGUCGGAGCGGCGCAAGGGUGCGUAACACGUGGGUAAUCUGCCAUGAAGUUUGGGAUAACUUGCUGAAAGGCGAGCUAAUACCGGAUGUGACAAUCGGGAGACAUCUCCUGAUUUUCAAAGCUGGGGACCGUAAGGCCUGGCGCUUCAUGAUGAACCCGCGGCCUAUCAGCUAGUUGGUGAGGUAACGGCCCACCAAGGCUAAGACGGGUAGCUGGUCCGAGAGGACGACCAGCCACACUGGAACUGAGACACGGUCCAGACACCUACGGGUGGCAGCAGUCGAGAAUUUUUCACAAUGGGCGAAAGCCUGAUGGAGCGACGCCGCGUGGGGGAUGAAUGGCUUCGGCCCGUAAACCCCUGUCAUUUGCGAUCAAACCGCAUUAUUUAAAAGAUGAUGCGCUGAUAGUAGCGAAAGAGGAAGGGACGGCUAACUCUGUGCCAGCAGCCGCGGUAAUACAGAGGUCCCAAGCGUUGUUCGGAUUCACUGGGCGUAAAGGGUGCGUAGGUGGUCGGGUAAGUCGGAUGUGAAAGCUCGGAGCUCAACUCCGAAAUGGCAUUGGAAACUGCCUGGCUAGAGGGUUGGAGGGGGGACUGGAAUUCUCGGUGUAGCAGUGAAAUGCGUAGAUAUCGAGAGGAACACCAGUGGCGAAGGCGAGUCCCUGGACAACUCCUGACACUGAGGCACGAAAGCUAGGGGAGCAAACAGGAUUAGAUACCCCCGUAGUCC
rnacentral:rRNA from 1 species